UUGGCUUAGAAGCAGCCAUCAUUUAAAGAAAGCGUAAUAGCUCACUGGUCGAGUCGGCCUGCGCGGAAGAUGUAACGGGGCUAAACCAUGCACCGAAGCUGCGGCAGCGACACUAUGUGUUGUUGGGUAGGGGAGCGUUCUGUAAGCCUGCGAAGGUGUGCUGUGAGGCAUGCUGGAGGUAUCAGAAGUGCGAAUGCUGACAUAAGUAACGAUAAAGCGGGUGAAAAGCCCGCUCGCCGGAAGACCAAGGGUUCCUGUCCAACGUUAAUCGGGGCAGGGU
rnacentral:rRNA from 1 species